UUGGCACCAUUCAUACACGGGGAAGCUUCAUACAGUCACUACAACCGCCUGUUAGAACUACGUAUUUAUUACGGCUUUGCGUAUGUGAGUAGGCUCGGGCGGCCGUCAGUUGUCAACGAAGUUAGCCGCCAGGGCGGCCAUUGCGAGCAAUGCGAGAGGACGUAAUGUGUUUUUGCACGCUCAGAGUAAAUAUUUUGUCGAUGUUUCCAGGUGUUUCGUGCUUAUGUGAAGUGACAAAUUCUAUUAGAUUAUUGCUAAUUGAAAAUACGCAAAAAUGGUGCGGAGUUACAAGAAAAAAGAGACUAGGUCUACAUUAAUAAAUGAAGAAAAUAUGUCCUCGGCAAUAAAAGACGUUUUGGAAGAUAAAAUGUGUUACAGAAAAGCAGCGGAUAAAUAUAACAUUAAGACCUCAACUUUGGAGUCGGGUAAAAAAAAUAAAAGAUAAACAUGAUGAUGCUGGCACGAGCCGCACGUAUCAGUCUAAAUUCACCAAUUAUCAAGUAUUUUCUCAAGAACAAGAGUCCCAAUUAAACGAAUAUGUAGCAAAAAGCUCAAAAAUGCAUUACGAGCUCACAAUAUUACAAGUCAGAAAGCUGGGAUAUGAUUAUGCUAAAGUUCUGAAAUGUACCUAUCCGCCAAAAUGGGAUAAAACUGGACUCUAAGUAUGUCUGAUACAGCAAAUAACUAGAAUAUUGAUCUCUUAUUGACCGAUUCGGUUUAAAAAUUAGUAUAGUCUACACCAUGUUGUGUAUUUUCUACUUAUUGAUUUAUUUUCCUAAGAAAUGAAUAUGUUUUGAUGCUAAAAAGUUUUGUCAUUUACUUUAUUACAUCGUUGCUAUUUUUAAUGCCAAUUAAUACGAGUUUUGAUAAUUA